UACGUAGGUGGCGAGCGUUAUCCGGAUUUACUGGGUGUAAAGGUCGUGUAGGCGGCUCUGCAAGUCAGAUGUGAAAUUUCCGGGCUUAACCCGGACGGGUCAUCUGAAACUGUAGGACUUGAGUACUGGAGAGGAUAGCGGAAUUCCUAGUGUAGCGGUAAAAUGCGUAGAUAUUAGGAGGAACACCGGUGGCGAAGGCGGCUAUCUGGACAGUAACUGACGCUGAGGCGCGAAAGCGUGGGGAUCGAACAGGAUUAGAUACCCCUGUAGUCCCUGA
rnacentral:rRNA from 1 species